rnacentral:rRNA from 1 species
UACGGUAGGGUGCAAGCGUUGUCCGGAAUUAUUGGGCGUAAAGAGCUCGUAGGCGGUGUGUCGCGUCGGUCGUGAAAACUUGGGGCUUAACCCUGAGCUUGCGGUCGAUACGGGCAUCACUGGAGUUCGGCAGGGGAGACUGGAAUCCUGGUGUAGCGGUGAAAUGCGCAGAUAUCAGGAGGAACACCGGUGGCGAAGGCGGGUCUCUGGGCCGAUACUGACGCUGAGGAGCGAAAGCGUGGGGAGCAACAGG